GUCCGGUGGAGCGGAGCUCUCCCUCUAAGCGUCCAUCUUGGUUCGCGCCGAAACCACGCCCCCCUACAGAGUCACAGUUAACAUACAGUAUUCAUUCAACAAUUGGUUAACAGUCUAAGGGGUCUUGUCUAAACCCCCCUACAGGAUGUAGUGUCGUCAUUACAGAGUUCUCCCACCCAUAUUCCAGCUCCAUCUUGGUUACACGAUGGGAGGGGGAGUGAGUAGUAGUUACUGAACAGAGAGGGGCUGAAGAGGAAACAGUUACUUUAACAGUGAUUCUCCAUUUUGUUACAUGUGGCACAUAGCUGUUAAUAUGCACAAAGGAAGUGGGGGAGGAGUUUAAUAAAGGAAGCUGUUCUUUUAACACAGGAAUUUGUUACACGAGGCUUGCUCGAUGGGAAGGGGGGAGGCUAGCAGGAUGGGAGGAAUUUGCAGAAAAAAUAGUUACUGAACACAUUGUAGGGGGGAAGGGAAGGUUUACUCUAGCAGCCAGUUUAACAUAGUGAACACAGAAUAAAUAGACAUUAG